rnacentral:rRNA from 1 species
AUUGAACGCUGGCGGCAGGCCUAACACAUGCAAGUCGAGCGGAUGAAGGGAGCUUGCUCCUGGAUUCAGCGGCGGACGGGUGAGUAAUGCCUAGGAAUCUGCCUGGUAGUGGGGGAUAACGUCCGGAAACGGGCGCUAAUACCGCAUACGUCCUGAGGGGGAAAGUGGGGGAUCUUCGGACCUCACGCUAUCAGAUGAGCCUAGGUCGGAUUAGCUAGUUGGUGGGGUAAAGGCCUACCAAGGCGACGAUCCGUAACUGGUCUGAGAGGAUGAUCAGUCACACUGGAACUGAGACACGGUCCAGACUCCUACGGGAGGCAGCAGUGGGGAAUAUUGGACAAUGGGCGAAAGCCUGAUCCAGCCAUGCCGCGUGUGUGAAGAAGGUCUUCGGAUUGUAAAGCACUUUAAGUUGGGAGGAAGGGCUGUAAGUUAAUACCUUGCUGUUUUGACGUUACCAACAGAAUAAGCACCGGCUAACUUCGUG